UUAGAGUUUGAUCAUGGCUCAGGAUGAACGCUAGCGGCAGGCCUAACACAUGCAAGUCGAGGGGCAGCGGUUCCUUCGGGAAGCCGGCGACCGGCGCACGGGUGCGUAACGCGUAUGCAACCUGCCCCCUACAGGGGGAUAGCCCAGGGAAACUUGGAUUAAUACCCCAUGGCACCGCGCCUUCACAUGUUGGCGGUGUUAAAGAUUCAUCGGUAGGGGAUGGGCAUGCGUUCUAUUAGCUUGUUGGUGCGGUAACGGCGCACCAAGGCCACGAUAGAUAGGGGCCCUGAGAGGGGGACCCCCCACACUGGUACUGAGACACGGACCAGACUCCUACGGGAGGCAGCAGUGAGGAAUAUUGGACAAUGGGCGGGAGCCUGAUCCAGCCAUGCCGCGUGCAGGAAGACCGCCCUAUGGGUCGUAAACUGCUUUUGUACGGGAAGAAACGCCCCCUUGCGAGGGGGCCUGACGGUACCGUAAGAAUAAGGAUCGGCUAACUCCGUGCCAGCAGCCGCGGUAAUACGGAGGAUCCGAGCGUUAUCCGGAAUCAUUGGGUUUAAAGGGUCCGUAGGUGGACAAUUAAGUCAGGGGUGAAAUCCCGCAGCUCAACUGUGGAAUUGCCCUUGAUACUGGUUGUCUUGAGUCGUUGUGAAGUGGCUGGAAUAUGUAGUGUAGCGGUGAAAUGCAUAGAUAUUACAUAGAACACCGAUUGCGAAGGCAGGCCACUAACGGCGUACUGACACUGAUGGACGAAAGCGUGGGGAGCGAACAGGAUUAGAUACCCUGGUAGUCCACGCCGUAAACGAUGGUCACUAGCUGUCCGUCCCGCCCCGUGCGGGAUGGGUGGCCAAGCGAAAGUGAUAAGUGACCCACCUGGGGAGUACGUUCGCAAGAAUGAAACUCAAAGGAAUUGACGGGGGCCCGCACAAGCGGUGGAGCAUGUGGUUUAAUUCGAUGAUACGCGAGGAACCUUACCAGGGCUUAAAUGUGGAUUGACAGGUCUAGAGAUAGAUUUUCCUUCGGGCAAUUUACAAGGUGCUGCAUGGUUGUCGUCAGCUCGUGCCGUGAGGUGUCAGGUUAAGUCCUAUAACGAGCGCAACCCCUGUUGUUAGUUGCCAGCGAGUGAUGUCGGGAACUCUAACAAGACUGCCGGUGCAAACCGCGAGGAAGGUGGGGAUGACGUCAAAUCAUCACGGCCCUUACGUCCUGGGCUACACACGUGCUACAAUGGCCGGCACAGAGAGCAGCCACGCCGCAAGGCGGGGCGAAUCUACAAAACCGGUCACAGUUCGGAUCGGGGUCUGCAACUCGACCCCGUGAAGCUGGAAUCGCUAGUAAUCGCACAUCAGCCAUGGUGCGGUGAAUACGUUCCCGGGCCUUGUACACACCGCCCGUCAAGCCAUGGAAGCUGGGAGUGCCUGAAGUCCGUCACCGCAAGGAGCGGCCUAGGGUAAAAUCGGUGACUAGGGCUAAGUCGUAACAAGGUAACCGUA
rnacentral:rRNA from 1 species